CAGGUCAAAGUUCACGUAUGACUAACGCGUACAACAUUUCUUUGUGUCAGGCCUGUCUGUAUAUUUUUCUUUCCGGAUUAUUUCCGCAUUGUUUUUCGUCACAAGUAACACCAAGUUAGUUUAAACAUACUAACCCAAGCUACAAAAUGGCAGAAUAUUUCAAGGGUGCUGUCUUAUUAUUGGCGACGCUGUUCGUUCUUUAUGGAAUCGCAGACGGCUCUGUUGAAAGUGUGGCGAGAGUGAGGCGCGAUACUCAAGUUAGUAAUACUACAGUUGAUACACAUGACAACGAGACAGUGACACAUGUCCAGAAUGAGGGGUUGAGCACGGGUCUAAUUAUUGGUAUAGCUGUAGCCGUUAUUGUAGUGGUCGCCCUUGUUGCUCUUGUCAUAUUUUUUGUCAUCAGACUCAGAUCCCGAGGUUCUUCAGAAAUGGAACGUGAAGCCAAAAUUCAGAUGACAACAUCCAAAAAUGCUGGCGUCUACGUUGAUUUGGCGACAAACCCUGAUCAAGAAGACAAAGAGAUGAAAGAAACGGAUAAAUUAAAAUCAGCAGAAGAAGCUUAGAUGGCCACGAACAAAAUACAUUUUUAAAGAAAGAAAUCUAGGGGCGUAUUCAAUUAAAUUCUUUAAUGUUGAUAGGGAUGUGCCAAUAACAACCUAUUGCCCUGAAUUAGAAUGUCCAGGGGUUUUCCUAGGCGAAUUGAGCUAAAAAAAUACACCUUGGACUUAGCACUAUUUUUUCGGUCAGAAAUCGGCCAUUUUCCAAAAUGGUGGCCAUUUUCCAAAAUGGUGGCCAUUUUCCAAAAUGGUGGCCAUUUUCCAAAAUGGUGGCCAUUUUCCAAAAUGGUGGCCAUUUUCCAAAAUGGUGGCCAUUUUCCAAAAUGGUGGCCAUUUUCCAAAAUGGUGGCCAUUUUCCAAAAUGGUGGCCAUUUUUCGUUGAAUUUCGAUUUUUUUCGAUUUUUUUCACUAUAUUGUAUAUAUUAGAAACACUUCGAAUAUGCCUUACAUUGUGUCCUUCACUGGGUUUUCGGGUCGACAAAUACGAAUACAAUAUAAUUUUGCUAGGUCAAAAAUUUUGCACAAAAUGAGUUUUUCAGAUCCAUUGACCUAGGAAAAACCCUGCAGGCCAUUUCCAUAUAUUGAAUCCUAUCCCUGUCAAAAUUAUUGUAGAUUUAAAGGGAAAUUGUAAUUUAGGCUGAUUACUUAAGGUUAAAUAGAUUCGUAAAUAUUCUGAAAAUAUAAAGGAAACUCAUACACAAAACCCUUUUAGAAAAUCCCUUGGGUUACUUUGAGUAACAAUUUUGAAGAAUAACCAAACCAUAAGUUGAUCAGCUCCAUUUUGCUAACCUGUAAUGGUGGUGAAAUUUCAUGUCCUUUGGCGAAAGUGAUGGUUAAUAUUCUUUUUUAUAUUUCGAAAUCUAUCUAGCAGAUAUGUUUUUCGAAUGUAAUGAAAUUCAGUCUACAUUUUCCUUGCAAACAGAGAACUUACAACCAUAAAUUCAUCAAUCAAAAUCAAUAAUCAAACAUCAUAAUCAUUUAUCAAAACCACUACCUACAGACUUUCAUCAUUUGAUACAUUGUUGGUGUAGGAGGCAGACGUAUUUUUUCUUGUUUAUUUAUAAACAUUGUCGUCAUAGAAACGUAUUUAUGGCUUAAGUUGACAAAUAUCCAUUCUUUAUUUACAUAUUAUCAUGUUCGACAUUUAAAAUUCUAUCGUAUAAGCUCAUAAAUUUGAGAAUAAACCUACUAAAGUUAAUUAAGUAGCUUGGGGUGUUAAUAACAAUAUCUUAACUAAUACCAUUAGUAACACAAACCUUAUACAAGGCCUGUCAUUAAUAGCAUGGUCCUACUGCACUUACUAAUAUAGUAAUCAAGACCCAGUAAUUAAUAACGUAUAGUAAUAAAGACCCAGUAAUUAAUACCGUAUAGUAAUAAAGACCCAGUAAUUAAUAACGUAUAGUAAUAAAGACCCGGUAAUUAAUAUCCUACAGUUAUACCAGCCCUGUAAUUAAUAGAAAGUAAUAACGAACCAGUAAUUUAUAGCGUAUUAUAAAACGAGUAAUAUGGACAUGUAAUUAAUAGCAUAGCCUAAUACAAAAACAACGUAAUUAAUAUUUUUUCACCGUCAUGACUUGUAUUAUUAGAUAACUGAAUAUAUGCCAUCACCACAAUGUUUUUUGCCGUUUUGGGCUAUUUUCGAAAAUUCUAGGUGUUAAUAAAACAACCGAAUUGUCUGACUACUUUAGAAUCACUUUUCGUGAAAAAAGAAACUGAAAAAAGGGGGUUGUUAAUUCAGACAGAACGAAUGGUAAUGGAUUUAAUUAACUUUAGAAAAUAAACCUAAAACUAUUUACUAUAUUGACGCCCGCUCAUUGUAUUACUUUUAUUUAUAGACUUUACAUCGUUUAAAAUAUUUAGGCUUGUUUUGUUUUGUUUUUCCUUUGGUUGAUUUAUUUAUGUCAUCUUUAAAUAUUCAUAAAUUUUAUAGAUUAUUUUACCUGACAGAUUGAAUAUUUAAAGUAGCCGUGUUGUGACACUAGUUUAGCAUUUAGUUGUAUUGUUUAUCUGAACAACCCGAUAGUUCCGUAUUAAACCACAUUUAAAACCGGAUGUUUCCAUCUGGAAUUUCCAUUUCUCAUUUAGUUGUAUUGUUUAUCUGAACAACCAGAUCGUUCCGUAUUAAACCACAUGCCACCACUUUAAAAACCGGAUGUUUCAAUCUGGAAUUUCCAUUUCCCGUUUUUUUAUCUGAACAUAGCGCUGUGUUGAUGUUCUUUAGUAAUGUCCAAUUCACUGGAUUUCUUUAGAUGAGUAAAAUCAUUAUUUGUUUUAAUUAUUCUGUAUAAUUACCACGAUAGUGUACCUUUAAAUUGUUAGAGCAAAACAAAUGGACCAUAUUAUUUUAUUGCUGAUAAUAACACGUUUUGAAAGCUUGUCUAGACUAGAUUUAAACGAAAUCAACACGUAAAUAUCAGCACAAGUAAAGCCAAUUAGUAAGAAACUUGUUAUACUUGUUUGAACCGGGGCCAAAAAAAAAAACCUCAUUAAGACGGAAAUUAGAAAAUUUUAUUAUUCUCAAAGACGUGAGUUUGAAUUUUUUAAAGUGCAUUUUAAUGUAGAUUUAAUGGGAAGAUGAUUUUAAAUUAUUUAAAUAGGACGAGUUAAAAGCGUACCAUGAAUACGUUGAUGGGUAAAUAUGGAGAAGAUACGUAGACGAUGAGGCAUCCAUAGUUGGUCUUUAGCACAUCUGGUAUCUGGGCUGUUAAUGAUGGGUGUAGAACCGGGGCGUCGUGAUCCCUUAUUUUGCAUAAGGAACAAGAUCACGCCCCCCCCCCC